GAUGAAGAACGCAGCGAAAUGCGAUAAGUAAUGUGAAUUGCAGAUUUCAGUGAAUCAUCGAAUCUUUGAACGCACCUUGCGCCUUGUGGUAUUCCACAAGGCAUGCCCGUUUGAGUAUCAUUAAAUCAUCAACUCUAAAACCUUUGUGGUUUUUUUUAGAGCUUGGUCUUGAGGGUUUUGCAGGCUUUUUUUUUUUUUUCGUGUCUGCUCCCUUUAAAUGCAUUAGCGAGACUUCCCUAUGCUGAACCGUCUCUUUGACGUGAUAAUUAUCUGCGUCGAAUUUUGGUUCUCGUUGGGCUUGCUUCUAAUCGUCUGUUAAAGACAAAACGGAUUUGGGUGCAUAUAUGCGCCUUUUUCCAAAACCUUUUUUUGAUCUCAAAUCGGGUAGGACUACCCGCUGAACUUAAGCAUAUCAAUAAGCGGAGGA
rnacentral:misc_RNA from 1 species